rnacentral:telomerase_RNA from 1 species
GCGAUUUUUGAGGAUGUACUUUGUUCGCUUAUAUGCCCUCCGGCGUUCAGGCCUUGGAGAGGUAACAAAGACUAGUC